rnacentral:rRNA from 1 species
UACGAGUGCGUCGAGCGUUAUCCGGAAUCAUUGGGCGUAAAGGGUGUGUAGGCGGCGUUGUUAGUCUCCCGUAAAAUUCCUCGGCUCAACCGGGGGCUCGCGGGAGAAACGGCAAUGCUAGAGAUUGGCAGGGGUCACUGGAACUCUAGGUGUAGCGGUGAAAUGCGUUGAUAUCUGGAGGAACACCGGUGGCGAAGGCGGCAUCCUGGACCGGUAUUGACGCUGAGGCGCGAAAGCCAGGGGAGCAAACGGG